UGUCAUUCAGUGCACACAGGCUCACCUGGUGGAUUCCUAUCUUUGCCUAAGGGCAGAGGAAGGCUCCUCUAAAGUGCCAGUGUUUUCUUAACUUACCUGUAAAAUACAUUGGUAACAUCAGACCCAAACUUACUUUUACAAUCUCACUCACCUAAGACCAAUAUUUACUCUGGAAGUUCCCUGACUGAACAUUACUUGUAGUUAUUACAUUCUCCACAUUCAAAUGGCAGCCUCUACUAUUGUAAGAGUUGUACAAGAGGAUCAUGAAAGUCUGGAAAAUAUAACAGAAUUCCCACAGUAGCAGAACUCAGGUGUCAUUUAUGGGAAAUGGACACUACAACAACUGUUGCUUUUUUAUGUUGUUUUUCCCUCAGCUGGAGCCGUUUCAUCUGUUACUAAUGAAAUCUUCACCCUCUCAACAAGAGCCUCCGCUUUUGUCAUUGGUGGAAUCGUCAUCUGGCUGGGCCUCACUUUCACUGGAAUGAUUUUCCCCUUUGCUGUAAUGCUUCUUGGUCCUUUUUGCUUCCUCAUCUUUAUUGCUGUCCUGAUCAUUUCAGCAAUACUUAUCUACCUGUUCCUCCCAGAAACAAAAGGGAAGUCAAUCUCUGAAAUCACAGAAGAAUUCAAAACACGCCAGUUUAAGAAGAAACGUCACCAGGCUGUGGAGGUGAAUGCUACUGAAGAAAAAACAUUCUGCACCAAGCUCUGAUAAGCCACCACCAGUAACUUCCACUGACAAAAAGGCCUGUCUCAAAAUCAAACUGAAAACUGAACAUUAACAUGGACUUUUCUCAAUGAAAUGCAACCCAAAAAGCAAUCCAGAGAUAGCUUGUCACUAAUCCAAGUAGUCCUGUUUUAUAUUCAUCUUUGCUUUUCAUGGUGAGAGUCAAUGGCUCAUUCCUAGAGUGAUUCUGUAGCAGGAAAACAACAGCAACUACAGACAUUUCUAAGAACUGGCACAUGGGAAACAUUUUCAGGCAUAACACACCAAUUGUAUUUCAAAUCUUUCUGCAUUGCUGUCAUUUUCAAGCAGCAAGAUUUGUCUUCAUGUUUGUUACUUCAUAAGAAAAUUCUGCUCAAGGUUAAGAGCAGGAUGAAGAAAGGAUUAAACACAGACAUAGUUCUUGCAAACAAUGGUCAUGUCAUCUCAUGUCAUUAUGAUAUCACACUGUUAAGGACCUAUUAUUGUGAGCACUGCACAUGAACAAACACCAAGUAGGACAAAGAGAGCUUGUAUUUCCUUGAGCUGACAUCAAGUAACUAUAUGUCCUGAUUGUCUCUGUAAUGACUGUCAGGGAUCAGCCCCAAUCCCUGGGCAGUCGGUGCAGAAAACCCUCACUUGCAUUCUCUGCAGCAAACUGGCUGCAUUCUCUGUGAAUAUCAGUUGUAGCAAAAUCAGGAGGAAGUUUUUGUAAUGUAUUCUGGUACCUCAUGGAUGGCACAAGGGUUGAUAAACAUAGAGGCAAUGCUGAGAGCUGGAGGAUCAGAGCCCUGCAGAGAGGGAGUAAGAGACUUUGAGAGAGUACUGACAAAGUAGAGACUUUGAAAACUCAGCCCAUUUUAUGCAUGAUUAACUGAUUAAAAACAAAACAAAACAAAAGCAGAAGCUGUGAUGGCUGAUACCUGCUGGCUGUGUACUGGCCUAGGACACAUUGUACUUUGCUGUUGCACAUCAGCUCACAAUCCUACACUUCCCUGCUGUGCUCCAC
rnacentral:lncRNA from 1 species